rnacentral:rRNA from 1 species
GAUGAACGCUGGCGGCGUGCUUAACACAUGCGAGUCGAACGAUGAAGCCCAGCUUGCUGGGUGGAUUAGUGGCGAACGGGUGAGUAACACGUGAGUAACCUGCCCUUGACUCUGGGAUAAGCCUGGGAAACUGGGUCUAAUACUGGAUAUGACUUCUCAUCGCUUGGUGGGGGGUGGAAAGAUUUAUUGGUCUUGGAUGGACUCGCGGCCUAUCAGCUUGUUGGUGAGGUAAUGGCUCACCAAGGCGACGACGGGUAGCCGGCCUGAGAGGGUGACCGGCCACACUGGGACUGAGACACGGCCCAGACUCCUACGGGAGGCAGCAGUGGGGAAUAUUGCACAAUGGGCGCAAGCCUGAUGCAGCGACGCCGCGUGAGGGAUGACGGCCUUCGGGUUGUAAACCUCUUUCAGUAGGGAAGAAGCGAGAGUGACGGUACCUGCAGAAGAAGCGCCGGCUAACUACGUG